UACGAAGGGGGCUAGCGUUGCUCGGAAUCACUGGGCGUAAAGGGUGCGUAGGCGGGUCUUUAAGUCAGGGGGGAAAUCCUGGAGCUCAACUCCAGAACUGCCUUUGAUACUGAGGAUCUUGAGUUCGGGAGAGGUGAGUGGAACUGCGAGUGUAGAGGUGAAAUUCGUAGAUAUUAGGAAGAACACCGGUGGCGAAGGCGGCCAUCUGGCUCGGUACUGACGCUCAGGCGCGAAAGCGUGGGGAGCAAACAGG
rnacentral:rRNA from 1 species